GGGAGUACGCCCAGGUUAAACUCAAAUAAUUGACGGGGCCGUCACAAAGCGGUGGCAUGUGGUUUAUUCGAAGCAACCGAAGAACCUUCCAGGCCUUGACAUCCAAUGUACUUUCUAGAGAUAGAUUGGUGCCUCGGGAACAUUGAGACAGGUGCUGCAUGGCUGCGUCAGCUCGUGCGUGAGAUGUUGGGUUAAGUCCCGUAACGAGCGCAACCCUUGUCCUUAGUUACCAGCACGUAAUGGUGGGCACUCUAAGGAGACUCCGGUGACAAACCGGAGGAAGGUGGGGAUGACGUCAAGUCAUCAUGGCCCUUACGGCCUGGGCUACACACGUGCUACAAUGGUCGGUACAAAGGGUUGCCAAGCCGCGAGGUGGAGCUAAUCCCAUAAAGCCGAUCGUAGUCCGGAUCGCAGUCUGCAACUCGACUGCGUGAAGUCGGAAUCGCUAGUAAUCGUGAAUCAGAAUGUCACGGUGAAUACGUUCCCGGGCCUUGUACACACCGCCCGUCACACCAUGGGAGUGGGUUGCACCAGAAGUAGCUAGUCUAACCUUCGGGAGGACGGUUACCACGGUGUGAUUCAUGACUGGGGUGAAGUCGUAACAAGGUAACCC
rnacentral:rRNA from 1 species